rnacentral:piRNA from 1 species
UGCACUACUUUCUUAUUUCUAUAAUUAAUGA